UUUCCUCUGGCUCAGUUGGUAGAGCAUUGCGCAAACAAUGCAAAGGUCAUGGUUUCAAAACUCUGGGGAAAA